rnacentral:rRNA from 1 species
UGGGGAAUAUUGCACAAUGGGCGCAAGCCUGAUGCAGCCAUGCCGCGUGUGUGAAGAAGGCCUUCGGGUUGUAAAGCACUUUCAGCGAGGAGGAAGGUGGUGGACUUAAUACGUUCAUCAAUUGACGUUACUCGCAGAAGAAGCACCGGCUAACUCCGUGCCAGCAGCCGCGGUAAUACGGAGGGUGCAAGCGUUAAUCGGAAUUACUGGGCGUAAAGCGCACGCAGGCGGUUUGUUAAGUCAGAUGUGAAAUCCCCGGGCUCAACCUGGGAACUGCAUUUGAAACUGGCAAGCUAGAGUCUCGUAGAGGGGGGUAGAAUUCCAGGUGUAGCGGUGAAAUGCGUAGAGAUCUGGAGGAAUACCGGUGGCGAAGGCGGCCCCCUGGACGAAGACUGACGCUCAGGUGCGAAAAGCGUGGGGAGCAAAACAGGAUUAGAUACCCUGGUAGUCCACGCUGUAAAACGAUGUCGAUUUUGGAGGUUGUGCCCUUGAGGCGUGGCUUCCGGAGCUAACGCGUUAAAUCGACCGCCUGGGGAGUACGGCCGCAAGGUUAAAACUCAAAGGAAUUG